rnacentral:rRNA from 1 species
CCUACGGGAGGCAGCAGUGGGGAAUAUUGCACAAUGGGGGAAACCCUGAUGCAGCGACGCCGCGUGAGUGAAGAAGUAAUUCGUUACGUAAAGCUCUAUCAGCAGGGAAGAAAUACUGACCUUACGGUCAGCAGACGGUACCUGAGUAAGAAGCCCCGGCUAACUACGUGCCAGCAGCCGCGGUAAUACGUAGGGGGCAAGCGUUAUCCGGAAUUACUGGGUGUAAAGGGAGCGUAGACGGUUAAGUAAGUCUGGAGUGAAAGGCCGGGGCCCAACCCCGGGACUGCUCUGGAAACUAUUGAACU